UGGAUGGAUAUGUGGAUGGACAGAUGUGUGGAUGGAUAUGUGGAUGGACAGAUGUGUGGAUGGAUGGAUGGACAGAUGUGUGGAUGGAUAUGUGGAUGGACAGGUGUGUGGAUGGAUAUGUGGAUGGACAGAUGUGUGGAUGGAUAUGUGGAUGGACAGGUGUGUGGAUGGAUAUGUGGAUGGACAGAUGUGUGGAUGGAUAUGCGGAUGGACAGGUGUGUGGAUGGAUAUAUGGAUGGACAGAUUGUGUGGAUGGAUAUAUGGAUGGACAGAUGUGUGGAUGGAUAUGUGGAUGGACAGAUGUGUGGAUGGAUAUGCGGAUGGACAGAUGUGUGGAUGGAUGGAUGGACAGAUGUGUG
ensembl:lncRNA